CAGGCAUAACAGGCGGUUGCUCCCAAAGAACGAAAGAGGAGAGGAAAGUCCGAGCUGCAGAGACAGGAUUCCAUUUAACGAAUGGCUGGCGCAAGUCAAGGGAAAGUGCAACAGAAAAUAAACCGCCCCUAGAGGGUAAGGGUGAAAUGGUGAGGUAAGAGCUCACCGGAAUCCAAGCAACUGGAUUUGUCCGUGUAAACCCAAUCCGCAGCAAGAAGAGUAUGGUUAAUGUCUCAUUUUAGCUCUUCGCUUGAGGCACAUUGCGAAAUGUGUCCUAGAUAAAUAACCGUCCUUGACAGAACUCGGCUUAUCGUUACGCCUGUCUU
rnacentral:RNase_P_RNA from 1 species